rnacentral:rRNA from 1 species
GAUGAACGCUAGCGGCAGGCUUAAUACAUGCAAGUCGAGGGGUAACAGUGGCUUCGGCCAGCUGACGACCGGCGCACGGGUGAGUAACGCGUACACAACCUACCUUUUACAGGGGGAUAGCCUUGGGAAACUGAGAUUAAUACCCCAUAGAAUUAUAAAGUAGCAUUGCUUAAUAAUUAAAGAUGAGUCGGUAAGAGAUGGGUGUGCGUGUCAUUAGGUAGUUGGAGAGGUAACGGCUCCCCAAGCCUACGAUGACUAGGGGGCGUGAGAGCGUAGCCCCCCACACGGGUACUGAGACACGGACCCGACUCCUACGGGAGGCAGCAGUAAGGAAUAUUGGACAAUGGAGGGAACUCUGAUCCAGCCAUGCCGCGUGCAGGAUGACUGCCCUUAGGGUUGUAAACUGCUUUUAUCAGGGAAGAAAAGCUGUGAUUUAUCAUGGACUGACGGUACCUGAGGAAUAAGCACCGGCUAACUCCG